CCUUAACGUGUGGAUUGAGGAAGCGCGGGUAAAAUUUUCGCCGGAGAAGUUAAAGGGAGAGACAUAUUCCUGUCGUCUGUUGAGGCCGUGAGGGAACUAUGGGAGAUUGUUCCAACUCGCAAAUGGAAAGACAGAUAAAACAAAAUCAACAAAAUAGUUUUUAUAGGUGGAUUGUUAAAUGAAGAGCUAUCAACCUAGUUAUAUGAUAAAAAAAAGGAAAGAGUAAACUAUUA